GAUGAACGCUAGCGACAGGCUUAACACAUGCAAGUCGAGGGACCGGAGCACGGGUGAGUAACACGUAUCCAACCUGCCCUUUACUCGGGGAUAGCCUUUCGAAAGAAAGAUUAAUACCCGAUCUACAGGAUUGGGAGGCGUUCACUUAGGUUUUUGGUUAGGUAACGGCCCACCAAGCCUUCGCUGGAUAGGGGUUCUGAGAGGAAGGUCCCCCACAUUGGAACUGAGACACGGUCCAAACUCUUACGGGAGGCAGCAGUGAGUAAUAUUGGUCAAUGGGCGUUAGCCUGACCCAGCCAAGUAGCGUUAAGGAGGAAGGCUUAUUGGUCGUAAACUUCUUUUAUAUAAGAAUAUGUAUUAUAUGAAUAAGGAUCGGCUAACUCCGUGCCAGCAGCCGCGGUAAUAC
rnacentral:rRNA from 1 species